rnacentral:rRNA from 1 species
AGUCGAGAAUCUUUCACAAUGGGGGCAACCCUGAUGGAGCGACGCCGCGUGGAGGAUAAGGUCUUCGGAUUGUAAACUCCUGUCAUGUGUGAACAAGGUUGUCUCGUUAACAGCGGGGCAAAUUGAUGGUAACACAAGAGGAAGAGACGGCUAACUCUGUGCCAGCAGCCGCGGUAAUACAGAGGUCUCAAGCGUUGUUCGGAAUCACUGGGCGUAAAGGGUGCGUAGGUGGCGUGGUAAGUCAGAUGUGAAAGCCCGGGGCUCAACCUCGGAAUUGCAUCCGAUACUACCAUGCUAGAGUACUGAAGAGGUGACUAGAAUUCUCGGUGUAACAGUGAAAUGCGUAGAUAUCGAGAGGAAUACCAACGGCGAAGGCAGGUCACUGGGCAGUUACUGACACUGAGGCACGAAGGCCAGGGGAGCAAACGGGAUUAGAUACCCCGGUAGUCCUGGCAGUAAACGGUGCAUAUUUGGUGUGGGCGCAAUCGACCGCGUCCGCGCCGGAGCUAACGCGUUAAAUAUGCCGCCUGGGAAGUACGGUCGCAAGAUUAAAA